rnacentral:rRNA from 1 species
GAUCGGUGCUUGCACCGAGAUUCAACAUGGAACGAGUGGCGGACGGGUGAGUAACACGUGGGUAACCUGCCCUUAAGUGGGGGAUAACAUUUGGAAACAGAUGCUAAUACCGCAUAGAUCCAAGAACCGCAUGGUUCUUGGCUGAAAGAUGGCGUAAGCUAUCGCUUUUGGAUGGACCCGCGGCGUAUUAGCUAGUUGGUGAGGUAAUGGCUCACCAAGGCGAUGAUACGUAGCCGAACUGAGAGGUUGAUCGGCCACAUUGGGACUGAGACACGGCCCAAACUCCUACGGGAGGCAGCAGUAGGGAAUCUUCCACAAUGGACGCAAGUCUGAUGGAGCAACGCCGCGUGAGUGAAGAAGGCUUUCGGGUCGUAAAACUCUGUUGUUGGAGAAGAAUGGUCGGCAGAGUAACUGUUGCCGGCGUGACGGUAUCCAACCAGAAAGCCACGGCUAACUACGUGCCAGCAGCCGCGGUAAUACGUAGGUGGCAAGCGUUAUCCGGAUUUAUUGGGCGUAAAGCGAGCGCAGGCGGUUUUUUAAGUCUGAUGUGAAAGCCCUCGGCUUAACCGAGGAAGCGCAUCGGAAACUGGGAAACUUGAGUGCAGAAGAGGACAGUGGAACUCCAUGUGUAGCGGUGAAAUGCGUAGAUAUAUGGAAGAACACCAGUGGCGAAGGCGGCUGUCUGGUCUGUAACUGACGCUGAGGCUCGAAAG